UUCUCUCCUGCCUGCAAAUAUGGCAUCAGGAAACAUAAACACCUACAAGAUAAAAGCAAAACCUAAUCCUAGAAAAACAAGCCUGACUAUUUACUCACCCAGAUCUAACUCUGGACUAGACCCAUGCAACUCACACCAGAGCCUACCAGCAGCUACUGCUGGUCAUGCUGCUAUGAGAACUGCCUUCACAGAGAGCCUAAAAAUCAGGCAGGAAAUCAGAUACAAAGAAGAACAUGGGGUAACAAGACAGUGACACUUUCCUGUAAGAAGACCAUAAAUCUUUAUACAAGGGGGCGGACUGGAGAACGUCAGGGGUUUCCAUGUGUGAGUGUUUAAAAUAAAACCUUAUUCAUGCUGGAGUGGGGAAGAAAAGAACUGGCAAGCUGGGAACACAAAAAGAGAAAAGGAGGAACCUUAAAAUAUGAGGAUUGACUGGGUCUUGAGCUCUGAAGGUGAGACUUGUGCAAUGAAUUCCCUUCACCACUCUUAGGAGUAGAGUUCACACAGUUAUCUGACACCACGCAACAUCCUCUCUUCUGCUGUAUGACUUAUCUGUCAGAUCCCAGUUUGCCUGAGGACAAGUAGGACAGAGGCUGUAGCACAGGGAUGAAACCUGGAAACAGCUCCUUCUGUGUGGGUCCCCGUCAUCCUUCUCUGCCAGACUACUUAGGCACAUGCCAAAUGUUACACCUACUUUGGGUCUUUCACACUCUUAGACUGGAUAAAUUUCAGAAGUCAGAAUGAACAUUAUGGAGAGUAGGUAGAUCCUCCCACACAAAUCGUCUGAUGGAGAAGAGAAUGGUGUCUUCUGCUUUCAGAGAAAGCAGCUGGAAUCAAGCCCAGAAAUUUUUUUGCAGCUACUAUAACUCAGCCACCCUGCACACAAACCUUUAGGCAUAAAAAUGAUACAGUAUUAAAAUGAAAGGGGUACAGCAAUUUCAGUUAAAAUUGCACUGGGUAUCAUAAUUUCACAUUUCUUAGCUAUGUGUGUGCUUCAGCUCUCAGCUAGAAUGUGCUAAUUGUAACUUUCCACAAUGAUGUUAAAAAGGAUUAAGCAAAACGGUAAUACAUACUAUCCUUCUCUCCAAAAGUGAGAACUGUAGUCCAGCUUUGGAACAGUCUGUGCUUCCCACUGGCUUUGUUGAGAAUUUUCUUUUGGAUUGAUGGGCAGUAUGCAGUUCUCAGAGCUUUCAGCUGGCCACUCCGACAGGUGUUGUGGUAUCACUGUUUCUUUAAUUCUUAUGUUCCCUGUUGCACUGCCAUAUCCAAGUGGACGUAUUUCAGUGGUGAGCAGGCAGAUUUGAAUAACAUCCUCGUGGACAGCAGGUUGACUCAGCAGUGUGCUCUUGUGGCCAGGGGGGCCAAUGGUAUCCUGGGGUGCAUUACAAAGUUUGCAGCCAGCAGGUUGAGGGAGGUUCUCCUCCCCCAUUCCUCUGCCCUGGAAGACCACAUUUGGAUCACUGUGUCCAGGUCUGGGCUCCUCAGUUCAAGAAAUACAGGGAACAUCUAGAGAGUCCAGUGGAUGCCCUGGAGGGCUUCCUUAUGGGGAAGGCUGAGAGACCUAAGGCUGUUCAGCCUGGAGAAAACUGAAAGGGAAUCUUAUGUAUACUUACAAGUAUCUAACAGGCUGGAGACAACUGAGUGGGGCCAGGUUCUUUUCAGUGGCACCCAGAAACAGGACAAGGGGCAAUGCACACAAACUGGAACAUAAAAAAUCUUUAUUUUAAGGGUAACAGAGCACUGGAACAGGCUGCCCAGAGAGGUGGCAGUCUCCUUCUCUGGAGAUAUUCAAAAUCUGUCUGGAUGCUUUCCUGCGUAGGGAACCUUCUUUAGCAGGGGGUUGAACAAGAUGAUCUCCAGAGGUCCUUUCCAACCCCUACAAUCCUCUAAUCCUGUGAUCCUCUGAAUAAAAAGUAGGCUAAGCUCGCCAUUGCUCUGUACUUUUUUGUAACUGGCUGUUGUCCUGCAAGGGGGGUAUGGAAAGCUGCCAAAUCCUAGUGGUUGCCUUUCACGCUUCUAUUGUACAGGUUAUUUCAGUAGUUACUGAAUAGUAAAGGCAAUGAAGCUAUCAGACACAUAUAUCAACUUACAAUUGCAUGUGUACUUUCAGAACCAGUUUAACAACAGCUUCUGUUUAUGCAUUUGUUGAAGGGUUCAGACUUACACACUGAAAGAAAAGGAAAUGCAGAACAGGCACCUGCAUUUGUUGUUACAAGUCACUGUGAUCCUGUUCACCACAGUGAUGCUACGUAAAUUUUUACAGAGCCUGUCCAGGAGCUGGUGGCUGGCAGAAUAGUAAGAAAUGGUUAUAUUGGGGCUAUCUAACAAACAGUGCUUUAGAGACAAAAGGCAAAAGGGCAGAGAAUCUUUAUGAAGGUGCUUCAUCAGCACUAUAUCAGUCUAUUGCUAUCUACAACCUGGGUGCCAGAAUGUUCUUAGUAAGCAUAUUUUUGCCUUUUUAGGGUGGUCAAAGAUCAUUUGCUCCUUAUGGUAACUUACUGAAAGAAAUCUAGAAGCACAGAAUACUAAAUUAUCAGAAUAGUAAAAAGUUAUGUAUUAUUUACAAGCACAGUGUGAGCUGUCAGGUCAGUUAAAUCAAUUAUUCACCAUUUGUUCAAUUUAGCUUUGUAUAAAUCUUCAUUUUCUCACUCAGCAAAUUCCAAAUUUACUACAAAGCCUUCUGCCAUGUCUGUAACGAGAACAGACUGAAAAGUAUAAAAAGGCAGACAGCUUACUAAAUUUAUAAGCAAUUGCUCAAAAAAUAAUGAUCAAUGUCUAUACUUUAUCUGGAGUAUGAUUUUUGAGCAUAAAUCAUACAUGAUAUAAAUAUAUAUACAUAUAAAAUUUACAUUUCAAGAUAGAAGGAUUCAAUUGUAUCCAAUUUUUGACUGUUAGGAAAAGUAAAAGAUUGAGACAUUUCUGUAAGAAAUUGAGUGACUGAGGAGGAAUGAGCAGAUUUAAGACCAGAAAGUACCAUUACAAUCUAUGACUGCUUGGAUCACAUGCAGCAUAAAACUUCAAACAGAAACAAUUGCAACAAAUCCAUGACUUCUGAUUGAACUAGACCAUUUGGAAGAGAUCCCUAAUUUGGCCAUACCUCGAUGUUUCAUAUCGAUGGAAGUACAUAUGUAGACCAAGGUCAAAAAUGAAAUAAAUGCUUAAUUGUGUGACUAGACAGCCAGCAAGCUAGAUUGAAAAUCUUAUCUCUUCCAUGAUGUACAAACUGAAAUGCAUUGCUAAGAAAAGUUUUUGGUAUUAGAGACUUAAGUGCAGCAUUGUUCAGGAAGCAUGGAAACUGUGAUCUUACCUACAUCAGCUAUAGGCACCUUGGCCUUGCCCAAGAAAAAGCCCUCAGCUAAGAAGUCAAGAACAAUCUCUUUUCUUCUCACACCUGGCCUUUCUUGACUGGGACUAUGUCACUGGAUUAGGAAAAAGAAACGUAUGCAUGAAAACAACUGAUUUAUUUGUUUAUUGAUUAAAAAUGAUCUUUCAUUAGCUGCACAAUGGGAGCCAGCCAUAUAUAACUUUAGAGUGUCCCACUUGUGAAGCAAAAUGAGUUGGCUCAAACUACGUGAAACUUGUCAGCUUUUUUUUUUUUCCCCAUUGCAGUGGGCAUUACCUAAUUGCUUUCUGUAGUAAUCAUUGUUUUAUUCACUGAAAUGUUAAUAAUGAAGCCUCUGGUGUAGCAAGUGAGAAUUUUCUCUCUAUACUUCUCUCCUGGUGCAUGCAAUUCAGUUAUAAGAAAAUAGUAAAUCAUACCAUCAUUUUACUUUCCAUGUCCAAAAUUUGAGGUGAACAGAAUUGAAGGUCCAGAUUCUGCAUUUUAUUUAACAUAGUGUAGGAUGCAGCUCUACCCCUAGCUCCUUCAGAAAAGCAUUUCCAGUUCUAUGCACAUUGAAUUAAGCUUACAUAGCAAAGAUGUCUUCACUGAGCCCAGCUGUCCUCAUGAACUGCCCUUGUCACUGUGUACUUUGAAGGUGAGUUGUAUUACUAGGAGUAGAAAUUGGAAGUGUGAUGGAAUUGAGCAGAAUAAUUAUAAUACGUGGGAGAUAUCUCCUGAACAGGGGGAAGUAUGGAUGGAAUCUGCGAGGCCUGAAUUCUAGCAUUUCACUCAUAUUUCAUUCUGAUAAAUCCAGUGGGUUAGAAAUAAAAAAAGAAAUAAGGCAAUCUAUGCAAUCUCCAGGGUUGCCAAGUAAAGGUAGCAUGAGUUCAUAUGAAGGAUGGAUAUACAUUUUCACAGUCCUUUCAUUUCUGACUAUCAUAAUUACUAUUGGUCUUCAAGGCAUCUUACCAUACAGAAUGAUAUUUUUUGAAGCAAGGGUGAUAUUGUUUCUCUGUACCGAAGUGUUAAGGGUUACCUAAAUAGAAGAGAGAGCUGUUCAGUCUGUCUGUAUCGAAUAGGUAGAUAGUGGAAUAGGUGAGAAAUAGGCUGGUUACUUUUAAGAAAAUUUGAGCAUAGGAGAAGAUUUAUGUGCUCCACAGCAAAAGAAUGGCUGGAGGUAAGUUGCAAAUUCCUGCACAUCCAGGGAUUUGUGAGACUGUCCUUGUAGUUGACUGGACCAAACUACAUCAAAUGAGACAAACAGUUCACUACUACAGAGCAGCCUGCUUUCAGUGUCACAGUUAUCAUCUUCCUGUGUGACGGACUGAGACACAAAUAACCAGUGCAAAUUACAUAUAGGCAUUUGGAAAAUACAGAUUAUUACAUAAUAGAUUGAGAGGGAAUGGUCACAAGUUGCAGCAGGGGAGGUUCAUGUUGGAUAUCAUGAAAAGCUUCUUGUCCAAAAGAGUGGUGAUGGAUUGGAAGAGGCUCCACAGAGAGGUGGUGGAGUCACUAAACCUGUAGGUGUUCACAAAAUGUGAAGAUGGGGCACUGAGGGACACAGUGACAAUAUUGGUGGUAGGUGGAGAGGUGGACUAUAUGGCCUCUUCCAGUCUUAAUGAUUCUGUGACUCUGUGUAAGUCCUGGACCUUUAAUUUCAAAGAAUGGUCUGGAGAGAUCUUUCAGAAUAAGUGUUGAAUAUUCAAAAUUAAUUGGAGCCCUUAUAUUUCCUAGAGGAGCUUGGUAUGGACAGAGGAUUUUAACUUAAAGCAUCACUUGUGUUCUAUAUCUUAUAAGGCUCUUAUUCCCAUUUCAGCAAUCUGUUUUUUUCUGUUCCUUUUGUUCCCUCAUCAACUGGACCAGAACACUAUCUCUAGGAAGAGUCUGCUCAGUUGCUUGAAGCAUGUACAUCCGUGUAGCCAAGGGAGAAACUGACCAAUAGCCUCAAUGGUGAUUAGAAGACAAUUGGUCCCUCAAACUUGUCUUCCAAAGUGAGAGCACCUGGCAGCUUCUGGCAGCUUUCUGUUCCUUCUCUGAAACAAUACAUGCCAUGAUGGUGGGAAAACGGGAUUCCAGCACAGCGCUUCUCAGAAAUAACAUGAUUGUGACUUCUUUAGUUCAAAGGUCUGAAGCAAUAUGGAAAAGAUGACCUACAUAAUGACCAAACCAAAACUUUGUCACUCUACAGUGGUUCCUCAAAUCCUGCUUUGACAUCAAGCAGCUUCAAUGCAGGUACCAAGAAGGGAGCAGAGAGGAAAGGAUAAUUGGGUCCGUGCUCCCAUUUGAAAGGGAGCUUAUGUUUUCCUGCAACUUUGAUGGAGAUUAAAUAUGUCUUGGCUACUUGGCUCUGACCACAUGAAAUACAGCAUCUAGAGAGACUUUGUGAGCAAGGGCUUGACAGGCAGACAUUUAAGAUCGUUGGUCAUCUUUGCAUCUUUUAAAGUAGAAGCGAUAUCUCAGUAAGGGAUGAUUUUACACUAUUAAAAAAAAUAAUUAAAAAAAAAAAGGAAAGGAAAGAAAAGGAAAGAAAAGAAAAGAAAAGGAAAGAAAAGGAAAGAAAAGAAAAGAAAAAAGAAAAGAAAAGAAAAGAAAAGAAAAGAAAAGAAAAGAAAAGAAAAGAAAAGAAAAGAAAAGAAAAGAAAAGAAAAGAAAAGAAAAGAAAAGAAAAGAAAAGAAAAGAAAAGAAAAGAAAAGAAAAGAAAAGAAAAGAAAAGAAAAGAAAAGAAAAGAAAAGAAAAGAAAGAAAAGAAAAGAAAAGAAAGAAAAGAAAAGAAAAAAAAGAAGAGUUAUAACAGAAGUAAAAGAUACAGCCCCAAGCCCUGAAUCAUCAGGAAAACCAAACAAACUAGACUUUCACUGUUUGUGGUCACUGCUGAACACUUACAGUACAGUGUAGGAAAUGGACCACUCUCUAAUAUAAUGUGUUGCCCCAAGACACAGAAUGCUGCUAAAUAUCCUGGACAUUCUUUCUCACUCUGAGCUCUCUACGGUCUCUAUUAAGGCAAGCUCAUUCUGUGGAGAAUGAGAUAUUUUUCCAUGAACCACCUCUCUUCUCUAAAGGAUCUUCUCAGGGCAACUGCUAAAUUGUCCUGCGAGGCUGAAUAUGCUCUGAUGUCAGAGCAUACCAGCUGAAGUGUUCAGCAACGUAAAAUAAGCUGGAGAUGCUAUACAAGAAGAGUAUGUUGGUACUAAUUUUUUCCAAGUAAACCCAUUCAGGAUAAAAAUAACUUCCUUUUCUCUCUCUCUCUCUUUUUUUUUUUUUUAAUAAUGUCAUAUUGCAUCAGCAGACUUACACAACACGUUAAAAAUCCCAGAGAAACAAUAUAUCAUACAUGAAGAGCUUCCUACCUAUUAGAUUCAUGCAGCAAAUGAAAUUCUAUGCAACUUCUUCCAGGAAAAUAGCUUGCGUACUCUGAAGCUAUAUCUAGGAUUUUUACAAACUGUUCUGCAUGAUUCACUCAGUGCUCGGUAGAUUAGAUGUUAUUGAAUUCACAUGAGUUCAUGUUAAAUAAAGUGAAACACAACAUCUGGGGCUACUCAUCACUCAAAGAUAUGACAUCCAUUGCCAAACACAAGAGUGAUUCAGUAAUGUUGUAAUUACCAAACUGGGUCAGUGGUGAAAUAGAAAGUGGGGACUGUUAUAACACCAAGUCCUUAGAUUAUCUGUGAUCAGAAGAAACAAACAAUCAGAGUUUGUGAUAUAUGGCAAGCACCAAUGAUCCCGGACUGUGCACAAGACUGGCAUUUCAUCCUGUAAAAUUUAAUUGUACAGAAAAAUGUAAGAUGGAACAGCCUUGUCCUACCUGUUACAGUGGACUGAAUGGCCUAUGCUGAAAGUGCCACUGAAAUUCAACACACACUGGGGAGACAAAGGAAACUGUGAGCACUAUAUCUGCUUCUUAUUUCUGACUCUAGUUUAAACUUCCAGUGAGUUCUUCCCAAAUGGCUGUUCAGAACUCUGUGUCUGUUCUGUGUUUUGCCAGGGCCAGGCAAAGGAACAGAAGCAAAGGAAAUGAACUAAAAAAAAACAAACAAGUAAAAAGCAAUCAUAUGUCAACUAAGACCCAGAAUAUGAGAUCAGUGUUUACUAAGCACAACUAGAACAAAGUAGAUAUCACACUAAGGGACAUGAUUUAGUGGACAUGGUGGCAAUAGGUUGAUGGUUGGACUGGAUGAUCUUAGUGGUCUUUCCAACCUCAAUGAUUCUGGCAUUCUAUGGAAAGUUGGGAGACUGCAGAUCCAGAUAAUUCAAGGCUGUGUUAUUCAUGGUAUGAUAGCCUGCACGUCAAAGGUCAAUCUCAAGCCUAUGCACCAUGCAAACUAGAAAUGCUGAUGUGCAUGAAGAGGAGACAGGGCUAUGUGACUAACGUGGUUUGGCUUAUUUAGACUUUCCUAGCCUGCAGGACCAGAAGCAGUUGGGGAGAAGAGAGUGGUCUUUGGCACGCAUCUACUACCAGACUCAAACUCAGAGUUUCCAUUCCAUAGGAAAACACCUCCACUGCUCAGUGCCCCACCCCCGGCAUGUGCAUACUCAUUCUUUGUUUUGAUAAGCAAAUCAGUGAGUGCUUUAAUGUACUAUACCUGGGGGAAUUUAACUCAGAAUUCUGUGCUCAGGUUCCAAGAGGAUGUAGUUAUUUUUUACACCAGUAAUUUGUGUUUUGUUCCUUUUCCAAAUAGGACAAAAAAAGUUAGAGGGUGGUUUUUUCCCUGGUUUCACUCCUAAAUCGCCAUUUAUACCCUGACAUCAGCUGACAUCAGUGGAAAUGUCAAAAAAUCUUCCUUUUGCAAGAUUUCAGAAACAAUGCAGAUAUAGAGAAAAUAAAAAUAAGGAGGGAGGAGGGCGGAUGCCCCGGCGGUCUCUCGGCGGGGACAUGCUGCCAUCCAGCGGCUGCGGCCACGCGGCCCCGAGGAUGUGGAUGUCCCGGAGCACCGCGCCCCGCGCUGCCCCCUGGGGGCGGAGGAUGCUUCGAGGAGUGGUGUUGGGGUCCGACGCCCCCGGCUGAUCCAGCCCCCCUGCCCCACUGCUCUUGUAGCCCUUCAGCAAAAAUGUUCAUGGAAGAGAGAGUUUUUUUUUCCAGAGUGCCUGUGAAUGAAGAUAUGGUCCCUGCUCAGAAAAUCUGACCCAAAUACUCUUCUCCUAAAUGGCACAACUACUGUGAAAGCCAAUUACUGCACCGUGGGUUCUUCAGAUCCGUAGCUUCUCAAAAUUAAUAUAAGUGCUGGAAAAGAUACCGGAAAAAAGAUCAGUUAUGGAUAAUCUGAGUCUUGAUGUGCUUCCCUGGGAUUUACAGUUAACCUCUGAUCCAAUUAAAGGCUGUGGAGGGACUAUACACAAAAGUAGUGCUGUAGUUCCUUUCCCUUGUAUUUUACAUCCCCAAUGAAUAUUCUGUAUCUACAGGCACCACAAAUGACAAUUCAGAGAGUCAGUUAGAAGUCUCAGCAAAAUUCCUGGUGUCUUGGCACAGGACCUCCUAAUGGGGGUCAUUCAGAGGGAAACCUGCUGAGGGUGACUGGGAAGAAGGAGUCAUUGCCUCUGAGGGAGCCUUCUGUCCACAUCUCAGGACUUGUGACACUGCUUCAGAAAGAAAGCUUAAGUUGUUAGAGCAGAGAAAAUCUUCAUUACGGUACCCCACCCUCAGGCAUGUGAAAGACAAGCAGCUCAGCACCUUCCAGAGUCAGGCCCAUAAAGAUGAGAGGCUCUGGAACUUGAGGGACAGGUAAGUGAGGAUGUGGUGGAAGGUCCACCCAGGAGGUUAUCUAGGGCAAGGAGGCUGACUCCACAUCCCAAGACUGCAUCUGACAAGAAGACAAUCACUGUGGGCAACUCCCUUCUGAGAGGAACGGACAGCCCCAUAUACUGGCCAGACCUUACUCAUAGGGAAGUGUACUGCCUCCCUGGGUGAGGGUCAGGGAUGUUACUAGAAGGCUCCCUAGUAUGGUUCACCCUCUGUUUAUUAUCCCUUAUUGGUACUUCAGGCUGGCAGUGAUGAAGUCACUGAGAGAAGCUUGAGAGCUAUCAAAAGGAACUUCAGGUGGCUGGGGCAGUUUGUGGACAGAGAGGAAGUACAGUUGGUUUUUCUCUGUCCCUUCAGUGGCAGGGAGGAACACUGAGAGGACCAGGAAAUCCCAUCUGAUAAAUACAUGGCUGAGAGGCUGGUGCUGCUGUAGGAAUUUUGGCUUUUUUGAUCAUAGGGCCGUUUACUCAGCACCUGGCUACAAAUGAGGUCCACCUAGGUCAAUGGGGGAAAGGAAUUCUGGCCCAGGAGCUGUUUGGGCUUGUUGACAGGGCUUUAAACUAGGUUUGAAGGGGGAAGGGAGUGAUACCGAGCCUGCCCAUGACAAGGUGUGGGAUAGCAUAUCUAAGUUAAAGGGACAAGAUGCUAGUAGGGGCCCUCAAUCUGUUGCAUUUUAUAAUGAAUAUACUAGGCAUCGAGCUGUCAGGGCUCAUCACCAUGGCUUUAAAAUAGAUUUGAUGGUGGAAGAGGAUGUAGUGCCAAGGAACAAAGAGUCAGGGAACAUUGUCACUUUAAGAAGCAGAGGAGAAAACCUCAGAUUUGUCCCAGGGGUUUUUGGGAGGGCUCCUCCAAGAAGAUAAUGUGGCCAAAAGCCCAACUGAAGUGCCUCUAUGCCAAUGCACGCAGAAUGGGAAAUAAGCAGGAGGAAUUGGAAACUGUGACGUAAUUGGAAAACUAUGAUCUUACUGCUAUCACAGAAACAUGGUGGGAUGACUCACAUCUGAAACACUGAAACACCAUGAUUGAGGGUUAUAGGCUUUUUAGAAGGGAUAGGCAAGAUAGGAGAGGUGGGGAAGUUGCUCUGUAUAUUAAGAAGUAGAUAGACUGCAAAAAGCUGCCGCUGGGAAACAGUUAUGAAGAGGCUGAGAGCUUGUGAGUUAAAAAAAUUAGGGACUGGACCAAUAAAGGGCAUCUGGUGAUGGGGUCUACUCCAAGCUACCUGAUAAAGUGAGGCUGUUGACAAGGCCUUCUUACUUCAGCUGCAAGAGACAUUGCGCUCACAGGCUUUCAUCCUAAUGAAGGAUUUCAACCGCUCAGAUAUCUGCUGGGAAAACAACAGGGCAGCCUGCAAGCAGUCCUGGAAACUCCUGAAGUCCACUGAUGACAAUUUUCUGGUUCACAUAUUGGACAGACACAGCAGAGGUGAAGCACUUCUGGACCUGGUGCUCACCAACGCAGAAGAGAUCAUAAAAGAAGUUACAAUCAGAGGCAGCCUGAGCUGCAGCAACUAUGCCCUGGUUGAGUUUGUGAUCUCAAGGAAUGUGGAAGCAGUGAUGGGUGGCCUGGGAAAAUAUAGGGAUGCUGUCUGGAUGUGCAAGGAUGGAGUCUGGAAAACUGAGGCGCAAAUGGAAUUGGAUUUGGUCAGGGAUGUGAAAAACAACAAGGGAUGCAAACAAGACAAAAUAGAGGGGUCAGCGUUCUGCACAGUGACUCACUCCAGUGCUAUUACAGAAAAGGAUGUUUUAAUGUGCUGCUUCCCAUCCAAACUUCAUGAAAUGGGAAGCCUCCCAGAACUCUUCCAGAAGCCCAGCUGGAACUCCCCACUAUGAAAAACACUUCAACGUGAAUUAGAAAGUUUGCAAGAAAACCAUUACAAAACAGUACCAUCCUUGGCUAUACUAUGCGGUACUUCCCACAUAUUAGGAUCUCCAAAGAAUGUCAUUUUUGCCUUGAAAAAGUAUCCCAAGCUAUUCCCAUCUGCAAGGACAAUCUCUUUACUCCACUCUCAGAAUUUCUGAUGUCCCAGCUAUACCAGAGAUUACACCACGGACAUUGUGACAAGUUAAAAACCUGAAGUACUACGUCAUCUGAUGGUACAUGAGUGCUUCCUCCUGUGCCUGACUUUACUUUGGACCUGGGAACAAGAGCUAAGACAAAGCAUGGAUUUUCUGUCUGAGUGUUUGCAGACGCUUCUAUUACAUGAUCACAUUAUAGCGCUGUUGAAAACUGCUGUCAGCCCGUUAAAUAACACCGGACAGGUACUUAGGAUCUUCCAUUACCACAAUAAUGACAUAUCUCCCAAGUUUUGAAACAUCGGCUCAAGUUGCUCCCAGCUGUUCCACCGCAGCUCGUUUUCCUGCCAAUCACCACAUGGUGGUGGUGUAUCACCAUGAGUUCAGUGUUCGGGUCUGACUCCUGAGAGCUGAAUAGUUGGUUUAAGAAAGCUGGAUAUUUACAGCACAGCACAUUUACAAGGAUGCUUGUAGAGUGAACCCUCUAAAUCCAGUUUACCUUUGAAUUUAUAUGCAUUGCUUAACUGCUUUGCAUAGAGAACUGUCUGGCUUUCCAGUCAGGAAUCUCCCAGAGUAUUUCAAGCAACAUAUUUAUAACUCCAGGUGCAUCCACAUGCAGAAGGAUUUGAAGUCACAUGUGAUUUAUUUGUCCAUCUGCUUCAUCUCAACCUAUUUUGUUUCAUUUUGUUCUUGUUCUUGUUUUGUUUUGCUUUAAUAAUCCUUUGAUACUUAAUCAUCCAUUUCCUAUGGAAAAAAAAAAAAAAAAGUGCUCCCAAGAAUUCCAAUAGAGUCCAGGAAGGCUGAAUGCCUACUCUUCUGAAUUUGCUCCUAAAAGUCUUCUUCUGCAAAGCGUUUCAGCCACCCUUCACCAAAGUCAGGCAAUAAAAAGAAGGUGUACUGCAUUGCCAUUGUGUUUUUCAGCCCAUUCACAUUAUAGACCUUAAAUUAGCUAUUAUAUGUCCUUAGCUGAAUGUGGACAGUGACAGCCCAAUCGAAGACAGAGUGAAGUCAAUGGGAACCUUUCAGUUCUCCCUCAUUUGGCCCUGAAUCAAGUUCAAAGUUGUCUGAUUCAAGAAACAGAUCUUCUGUGUUUUUACAAAGAUGAUUUUUCUCCAGUAUGGAUAUAGGUUACAAAAAAAUUCCAUUAGGGCUUUGUGCACAAAAGAAGCUAUAUGUAACAAUGACAGCAUGUCUCAAACCAACAGAGAGAUUAGCUCUACUUUAAUUGGUUUGAAACAAGGGCACAUCAUCAACAGGGACGGGAGAACUGGCUUGGACUUAAUGAGAAAUGCAUCAUUUCCCACUCACAAACUUACUGCAGACUUACCCUGAACUUUCUAAAUCAAAACUGUUUUAAUAAACUUUUUUGUUGCAUUGC
rnacentral:lncRNA from 1 species